rnacentral:sRNA from 1 species
AUAUAACGUUGAGAAGUACUAGCUGGGUGUUGAAUGCAAGCUUGGUUGUGUAAGUUUGGGAGCAUUUUUGCUUCAUACCGUUGAGCAUCCAUUUUCAUUGCUGAGCAACCAGUUUUAUGAAUGCUUUGGCACUAAGAGGUAGGAGGACACCAUUGAACGUUAUCUUUCACUACAUGUUUGGAGUAAUUUAAUUCCAGGAUGUUGAGAGGUAGAUAAGUGUCGUUGAGCGUGACUUUUUGCAAGAAGAAUGGUUUUUAGCGCCAAGGCUACGUCAUCUUUUGCGAGAAGCCUAGGCGCCACCUCUAAGCACCAAUCUGUAAGAAUAAGUGUCUCUUUACUCUAAUGAGACACAUCUAUCAACAAUUGACACCUAGUCUCCGAUUAGAAAACACGGUACUCGAUUUCAACCAUCAGUAAUCGC